UGCUAGGGGACGGCUUAAUGGCUAGCAAGGGUGUUUGAGGUUGGUGUGUGUUUUGGGAUAAUGCGUAGACGUCUGGCUUAUCCACUACUGGGGACGCCCUGUAGCCUUUGAAUUUUGAAUAGCGGAAUGUGCAUUAUAAUUGGCUUAUGGUUUUGAGUUCUUUGUUUUGAAAUAUUAUCAAAUUAUUUUGCAUUGUCCAUGGAAGGCAUGUGAUGAUUUAAUACCUAAACACAUGGUUUUGAACUUGUUUUCCUUAUCAAGCUUAUUAUCAAGUUUAUUUGAACAUGUUUUAUAAAUUAUGUACUCCAUGGAUAACAAUGAAAGGUGGACCUAUUUGUGAAAUAUUUGCGAAUCUAUUUAAUGGCAUUCCCAACGUCCGGUCUUGCUAGGGGACGGCUUAAUGGCUAGCAAGGGUGUUUGAGGUUGGUGUGUGUUUUGGGAUAAUGCGUAGACGUCUGGCUUAUCCACUACUGGGGACGCCCUGUAGCCUUUGAAUUUUGAAUAGCGGAAUGUGCAUUAUAAUUGGCUUAUGGUUUUGAGUUCUUUGUUUUGAAAUAUUAUCAAAUUAUUUUGCAUUGUCCAUGGAAGGCAUGUGAGUUAAGUACUAAUCACUCACACGAGCUUUGGCUUAUGUAUUUUCUUUUCCACCUUUCAGGAAGCGACGCGUAGUGUGACAGAGUGUUUACUUUUGAGAUGUGUUGUAUAUUUGGAAAAUGAAGUUAUGCUUCAUGGUCACUUAGCUUUGUGUAUGAUUUGUUUAGUUUGUAAAUUUGUAGGUAAGCAAAGCUCUGAGAGGUUUAUCCUUUUGGCUUGUAAAUCUAUGUAAGACUUUGGUUUGUUAUUAAUAAAAGUUAAACUUUUGCUUCCGCUGUUA